UUUGGCCUACGGGAGGUAGCAGUGGGGAAUAUUGCACAAUGGGGGAAACCCUGAUGCAGCGGCGCCGCGUGAGUGAAGAAGUAUUUCGGUACGUAAAGCUCUAUCAGCAGGGAAGAAAAUGACGGUACCUGACUAAGAAGCCCCGGCUAACUACGUGCCAGCAGCCGCGGUAAUACGGAGGAUGCGAGCGUUAUCCGGAUUUAUUGGGUUUAAAGGGUGCGCAGGCGGUCUGUUAAGUCAGCGGUCAAAGCCCGGGGCUCAACCCCGGCCCGCCGUUGAAACUGGCAGUCUCGAGUUGGAGAGAA
rnacentral:rRNA from 1 species